GUUGGCCACAGGUGCAAGAACACAGUUUCACUGAACCAAGCAGCAGCACCUAGGGACCACCUUCCCCGAGCAGGGACCUCUUGUGCAUACUGCUGGAGUCACAGACGUGCCCUGACCAUGUCCAGAAGCUGCUACCAUGCGCCACACCCACAGCCACACCCACAGGAAGCCGAUCACACAGUCUGGUCCUUGAUUAUCUCAUGCCUUGUCCUAGACAUCGUUCCAAUCCCCUAUGUCCUGUUUUUUCAACUAAUUUGUGCAAUCAUUAAUGAAAGAAUUUA